rnacentral:rRNA from 1 species
AACGAACGUUAGCGGCGCGCCUAACACAUGCAAGUCGCACGAGAAAGGGCUUCGGCCCCGGUAAAGUGGCGCACGGGUGAGUAACACGUGGGUAAUCUGCCUUUGAGCGGGGGAUAACAUUCCGAAAGGAGUGCUAAUACCGCAUAAGACCACGACUCCGAAAGGAGACGAGGUAAAAGCUGGCCUCUAUACAUAAGCUAGCACUCGAAGAUGAGCCCGCGGCGCAUCAGCUUGUUGGUGGGGUAACGGCCUACCAAGGCGAAGACGCGU